rnacentral:rRNA from 1 species
GACGAACUCUGGCGGCGUGCUUAACACAUGCAAGUCGAACGGUAAGGCUCCAGCUUGCUGGGGUACACGAGUGGCGAACGGGUGAGUAACACGUGGGUGACCUGCCCUGCACUUCGGGAUAAGCCUGGGAAACUGGGUCUAAUACCGGAUAGGACCGCACCGUGAGGGUGUGGUGGAAAGUUUUUUCGGUGUGGGAUGGGCCCGCGGCCUAUCAGCUUGUUGGUGGGGUAAUGGCCUACCAAGGCGGCGACGGGUAGCCGGCCUGAGAGGGUGGACGGCCACAUUGGGACUGAGACACGGCCCAGACUCCUACGGGAGGCAGCAGUGGGGAAUAUUGCACAAUGGGCGGAAGCCUGAUGCAGCGACGCCGCGUGGGGGAUGACGGCCUUCGGGUUGUAAACUCCUUUCACCAUCGACGAAGGGUUUCUGACGGUAGAUGGAGAAGAAGCACCGGCUAACUACGUGCCAGCAGCCGCGGUAAUACGUAGGGUGCGAGCGUUGUCCGGAAUUACUGGGCGUAAAGAGCUCGUAGGUGGUUUGUCGCGUCGUCUGUGAAAUUCCGGGGCUUAACUCCGGGCGUGCAGGCGAUACGGGCAUAACUUGAGUACUGUAGGGGAGACUGGAAUUCCUGGUGUAGCGGUGAAAUGCGCAGAUAUCAGGAGGAACACCGGUGGCGAAGGCGGGUCUCUGGGCAGUAACUGACGCUGAGGAGCGAAAGCAUGGGGAGCGAACAGGAUUAGAUACCCUGGUAGUCCAUGCCGUAAACGGUGGGCGCUAGGUGUGGGUUUCCUUCCACGGGAUCCGUGCCGUAGCUAACGCAUUAAGCGCCCCGCCUGGGGAGUACGGCCGCAAGGCUAAAACUCAAAGGAAUUGACGGGGGCCCGCACAAGCGGCGGAGCAUGUGGAUUAAUUCGAUGCAACGUGAAGAACCUUACCUGGGCUUGACAUAUACAGGAUCGCGCCAGAGAUGGUGUUUCCCUUGUGGCUUGUAUACAGGUGGUGCAUGGUUGUCGUCAGCUCGUGUCGUGCGAUGUUGGGUUAAGUCCCGCAACGAGCGCAACCCUUGUCUUAUGUUGCCAGCACGUUGUGGUGGGGACUCGUAAGAAACUGCCGGGGUUAACUCGGAGGAAGGUGGGGAUGACGUCAAAUCAUCAUGCCCCUUAUGUCCAGGGCUUCACACAUGCUACAAUGGUCGGUACAGUGGGUUGCCAGUCCGUGAGGGCGAGCUAAUCCCGCAAAGCCGGUCUCAGUUCGGAUCGGGGUCUGCAACUCGACCCCGUGAAGUCGGAGUCGCUAGUAAUCGCAGAUCAGCAACGCUGCGGUGAAUACGUUCCCGGGCCU